rnacentral:rRNA from 1 species
AAUGGAAUCAAAUACGCAGUAUUUACAGAAAAAAGUCUUCAUUUAUUGGGAAAGAAUCAAUAUACUUUUAAUGUCGAAUCGGGAUUCACUAAGACAGAAAUAAAGCAUUGGGUCAAACUCUUCUUUGGUGUUAAGGUGGUAGCUGUGAAUAGCCAUCGACUACCUGACCAAUUCGAAACAAAAAUAAAAAGGAACAUAGUUCCAAUAAAGGGAACCCAGGGACCAUAUUCUUCUCCAAUCUGA